GACGAACCGUCCAAACGUUAUUCGGAAUCACUGGGCUUACAGAGUUCGUAGGCGGUCUGGAAAGUUGGGUGUGAAAUCCCUCGGCUCAACCGAGGAACUGCGCUUGAAACUACCAGACUCGAGGGAGAUAGAGGAAAGCGGAACUGAUGGUGGAGCGGUGAAAUGCGUUGAUAUCAUCAGGAACACCGGUGGCGAAGGCGGCUUUCUGGGCCUUACCUGACGCUCAGGCACGAAAGCUAGGGGAGCGAACAGG
rnacentral:rRNA from 1 species